rnacentral:rRNA from 1 species
AUUCUAGCCCUAAUAUUCUUAUACUAAAGUAUUAAAAGUUAUGGCCUCUAAAUUUAAAGGAUUUGGCGGUGAUUUAAUCCUAUUAGAGGAACCUGUUAAGUAAACGAUAAACCACGCAAAAUCUUACCUGUUUUCUAGUUUGUAUACCGUCAUUAUUAGAUAACUUUCCAAGAAAUAGUUAUUGGAAUAAAAACCUUUAGUAUAUUAGAUCAAGGUGCAGCUCAUAAACAGGAAAAUAAUGGGUUACAAUAAAAUUUACUUAUACGGAUAUAAAAUUUAAAUAUUUUAUUAAAGGUGGAUUUAAUAGUAAAUUUAAUUUAAUAAGCUAAUUUGACAAUGGACCUAAAUCGUGUACAUAUCGCCCGUCACUUGCAUUCCCAAAUGAAAUAAGUCGUAACAUAG